rnacentral:rRNA from 1 species
UACGUAGGGCGCAAGCGUUAUCCGGAAUUAUUGGGCGUAAAGAGCUCGUAGGCGGUUGUCGCGUUCUGCCGUGAAAGUCCGGGCUCAACUCCGGAUCUGCGGUGGUACGGCAGACUAGAGUGAUGUAGGGGAGACUGGAAUUCCUGGUGUAGCGGUGAAAUGCGCAGAUAUCAGGAGGAACACCGAUGGCGAAGGCAGGUCUCUGGGCAUUACCUGACGCUGAGGAGCGAAAGUGUGGGAGCGAACAGG